UACGUAGGGUGCAAGCGUUAAUCGGAAUUACUGGGCGUAAAGCGUGCGCAGGCGGUGAUGUAAGACAGGUGUGAAAUCCCCGGGCUUAACCUGGGAAUUGCAUUUGAUACUCUGGAGCUUGAGUACGGGAGAGGAGAGUGGAAUUCCCAGUGUAGAGGUGAAAUUCGUAGAUAUUGGGAAGAACACCGGUGGCGAAGGCGGCUCUCUGGACCGUAACUGACGCUGAGGCGCGAAAGCGUGGGGAGCAAACAGG
rnacentral:rRNA from 1 species